AAGGCUAAAUACUCCUGACUGACCGAUAGUGAACCAGUACCGUGAGGGAAAGGCGAAAAGAACCCCGGCGAGGGGAGUGAAAAAGAACCUGAAACCGUGUACGUACAAGCAGUGGGAGCCCCACCACUAAGCCAGUGGUGAACUCCACAUACGCAUCCUUUGCUGAAGGUGCGGUUAACGGAGCGCAAGCGACGUUCAACCUCAAAAGAAGCAGAGGGGGCUUAGUGGUGGGGUGACUGCGUACCUUUUGUAUAAUGGGUCAGCGACUUAUAUUCUGUAGCAAGGUUAACCGCAUAGGGGAGCCGGAGGGAAACCGAGUCUUAAUUGGGCGUUAAGUUGCAGGGUAUAGACCCGAAACC
rnacentral:rRNA from 1 species